rnacentral:rRNA from 1 species
GAUGAACGCUGGCGGCGUGCCUAAUACAUGCAAGUCGAGCGAACAGACGAGGAGCUUGCUCCUCUGACGUUAGCGGCGGACGGGUGAGUAACACGUGGAUAACCUACCUAUAAGACUGGGAUAACUUCGGGAAACCGGAGCUAAUACCGGAUAAUAUAUUGAACCGCAUGGUUCAAUAGUGAAAGACGGUUUUGCUGUCACUUAUAGUUGGAUCCGCGCCGCAUUAGCUAGUUGGUAAGGUAACGGCUUACCAAGGCGACGAUGCGUAGCCGACCUGAGAGGGUGAUCGGCCACACGGGAACUGAGACACGGUCCAGACUCCUACGGGAGGCAGCAGUAGGGAAUCUGCCGCAAUGGGCGAAAGCCUGACGGAGCAACGCCGCGUGAGUGAUGAAGGUCUUCGGAUCGUAAAACUCUGUUAUUAGGGAAGAACAAAUGUGUAAGUAACUAUGCACGACUUGACGGUACCUAAUCAGAAAGCCACGGCUAACUACGUA